ACAGCGACCCGGGUCAUGGCUUUAGCCACCUAAUAGCGCCCAAAUGAGCGGGGCCGCGCACGCCUCAGCGGAACCCUGCCGCUUUAUUGCCCUUUAACAGCCCGCGGGCCGGGGGUCGCCAGCGCGGCCGGCCCCGGCUGGCCGCGCCCACUGCCCCCUCCCCACACACACACAGCCCCGCCGCGGACACCGCCUCAGCUCGGUAAGAUGUCCGACGGGCCGGCGGGGGGCCCGGGAGAACCUACCAGGUCCGCCUGUCCAAAAGGGAGGAAGGUGGUGCCUCACGUGAAGCUGUGAAGAGACCUAGAACAUAGGUCUGACUGUUGCCAGCAUCAGUCCUUCUCCUUACUCUAAAAGAGCAAGAUUCAAUAAUGGCACGCAUGAGCUGAAGAUCCUUACAGUAAUACAGUUCCAAAGUGACUGGAAGCCACUGUCAAAGACUGGGAAGAGAUUAUAGCAGCAUACAGCUUCUCUACCCUUUAAACACAGGAAAAAGGCAACAGGUUCUGUUAACCUGCUUUGGGACGCAGGAUGGGGAAAUGUGUGACUGGAUUUCUGUCAGGACAAGGCUGUCUCCUGACAGACUUUCUGCGGCCGGUGAGCACCGUUAAACAUGCAUUAAGACUUGCAGAGACUCAGAAAUCAGAGAAAUUCCAUAUACUUUGUAGUAAAAUGUAAUUACAAACUAAGAAUAGGCAGAAUGGUUAUUUCUUUCAUAGUCUCCUUAUUUUAUACAAACCGUAAAUGACUAGCUACUAUUCCAUGUUAUUAUUUACAGGAGAUUGCAAGUAUAUAGUUAAGAGAGAAAAUCAUGGGGUUUAUGCCAACUAUGCUUACGAUAAUCCAGGAUAAAACACUUUUCUUUGUUGUACACUCUUCAGAUUGUGGUCACAGUCUGUCUUAGAUGAAUUUCCCUGUAAAACAGAUACUACUUAAGUGGUUGUACUUAAUUAUAUAUAUUCAGUUGUCCUUCCAUUUUUCAAUUGAAGACUGAAAUGAAGAAAGCCUUUUGCUAACAUAUGUUCUCAAUGCUAUUUUACUGUAUCAACA